rnacentral:rRNA from 1 species
UACGUAUGGUGCGAACGUUGUUCGGAAUCACUGGGCAUAAAGAGCACGUAGGCGGUUGAGCAAGUCCAUUGUGAAAUCCCCCGGCCUAACCGGGGAACUGCAUUGGAUACUACUUGACUUGAGUGCAGGAGGGGAGAGUGGAAUUCCAGGUGGAGCGGUGAAAUGCGUAGAUAUCGAGAGGAACACCAGAGGUGAAGACGGGUUGCUGGGCUGACACUGACGCUGAGGCGCGAAAGCCAGGGGAGCAAACGGG